GUUUUUUUUUUUUUUUUUUUUUUUUUUUUUUCUU
rnacentral:ribozyme from 1 species